rnacentral:rRNA from 1 species
UACGUAGGUGGCAAGCGUUGUCCGGAUUUACUGGGCGUAAAGGGCGUGCAGGCGGUCUGUUUAGUCUAGGGUGAAAGCUCCCGGCUCAACUGGGAGAGGUCCUUGGAUACUGGCAGACUUGAGGGAGGCAGAGGAAAGUGGAAUUCCCGGUGUAGCGGUGAAAUGCGCAGAUAUCGGGAGGAACACCAAUGGCGAAGGCAGCUCGCUGGGACGUGACUGACGCUGAGACGCGAAAGCGUGGGUAGCAAACAGG